CUGGGCGGAGAUGCUUGCACUCCAAGCAGGCUGAGUCCAUUGUGACUCUCUUUACCUCGAUGUUUUCAGAUGCAGCUUUCUUCAGAGGUAGCAGCAGGACCACUUGAAGACAAACAUGAGCUGUACAGAAAUCAUUGGGAACUUUGUCAAAAUGUUCUGUCUCCAUGGAAAAGCAGACUGAUCCAAGCUCUAGCUGGUCUUAUCAUCCUCCACCUCACUGUCUUCUUGGCCUCUGGGUCUUCAAUGAGUGGGCAUAAAUGGCUUCUCCAUCGCCUGAUCCAAAUCUUAUGAGCUGGCUGAGAAAGACAACUGCAAAGAAGAUCUUUGCUCAGCUUCCCAUCUGCAACUUGUGAUCACAUGAGGGUGCUUCUUGGUCUACGGAAAUCAGCAUGGCGACGGAAUAAACAGACGAGGCGCAGUGAUCUGAGUGUAACGAAUUUUCGUCCUUUUAGUUGCAGCAGCAAAAAUGGUGUGUGACCAGUAGCUUUUUUUGGUUCCCAUCCCGGCCAAGAAAUUAUGUCACAUCUUGAUGUCACCUCCAUUGACAGCGUUCAACCACUCUUCAACUUGGAGAUGGUGCUGCCGGUCAUAUGAAAGAACUGUUCAGUUUCUGUACAUGUUACAGUCAUCCUGUCUGUAUCUUGAUAAGCUCCGACCAUGGAUUUCUUCUUGGAAAGCACAGCUCACUGAUGGACCUGACUGGUGAGAAGGAUAGCUUACUAGAGUAUUAUGCCCCAUGUUAGCAAUAAGAAUCAUAAUUAAAGCAAGUUGUUGUAUGUAUUAUGUUUAGUUUAGUUGGUUGGUGUCCUUGUCUUCAUCAAAAAAGUUGGAUAUCCAAUCCCCCAAAGGGGUAUCACUCUUUAUUUUAUUGUAAAGAUGCUGUGAUGAGUGUUGGGAAAAAGGAGCUUUAUUAUGCCAAA